AGAAAUUUUUAUUUAUUUGUUUUGAUUGGUCAAUCACGUUUUCAAGCAUUUCUAACGAUAUUUCGCUCAUAAUACAGUAAUUAGAGGAAAAGCAAACUACGAAGACGAAGAGAAUAGCUAUAAAAUGUUAGAAGUAAGUUGACGAAAAAAUAUUAAUUAAUGUGAAAUGUGCAAAGACAGUUUCAACUCUGGGCAUGUAAAAUAAUAUUAAACUGGAAAAUUGUGUGCUCAUUAAAGUAACGGAUUCUACAGAAUGGCUCUAUCAAAAAGUUUGUAUUUGAAACAAGACGAAUAUAUAUUCAAAUAUUGGAGAAGACGAAAAAUUUGAAUAUGAAAAAUGCAUACAAUGAACAAGUAAGUUUAUUGAAAGAGAAAAAAUUAAAAAAAUAUUGUACAGUCUUGACGAAUAUUGAUAAAAUUUUAUUUUGCAAUCCAUAAUUUUAUUUUGCACGUAACAUCUAUUUUGUACGCCUAUUUUUAAUGAUUAGAUUAUCAUUCUACAAUUUGAGACAUCGUAUGCUCGAUCAUAUUUUCUGAAUAAAAAUGUAGAAACAUCAGCAAAAGCUAGUUGCAAUGAUAUAUGUAAUAAAUAUUAUUAGAUGUAGAUAGAUAUAAGUACCAUCUUAGGAGUUAUGUUAUCGUUAAAUAAAGAUCAUUAAGAUUAGAUUAAAUAUAGAAUUUUCUUUUAAUUUCUUUUAUUACGUAUAAGAUUUUCUGUUAAAAU